rnacentral:rRNA from 1 species
UUCGGGGUAGAUCUCCCACCCUUUGUAUACUAUACCUUUGUUGCUUUGGCGGGCCGCCUAGCUACUGGCUUCGGCUGGUAAGUGCCCGCCAGAGAACCCAAAACCCUGAAUUAUUAGUGUCGUCUGAGUAAAAUAUUUAAUAUUUAAAACUUUCAACAACGGAUCUCUUGGCUCUGGCAUCGAUGAAGAACGCAGCGAAAUGCGAUAAGUAAUGUGAAUUGCAGAAUUCAGUGAAUCAUCGAAUCUUUGAACGCACAUUGCGCCCCUUGGUAUUCCGAGGGGCAUGCCUAUUCGAGCGUCAUUAUCACCCCUCAAGCCUAGCUUGGUGUUGAGGCCUGCUGUAAGGGCAGCCUCUAAAAUCAGUGGCAGUGCUGUCAGGCUCUAAGCGUAGUAAUUUUUCUCCCUACAGACGUCUGAUGGACCCUCGCCAGAACCCCCCCAUUUUUUAAUGAUUGACCUCGGAUUAGGUAGGGAUACCCGCUGAACUUAAGCAUAUCAAUAAGCGGAGGAAAAGAAACCAACAGGGAUUGCCUCAGUAACGGCGAGUGAAGCGGCAGAAGCUCAAAUUUGAAAUCUGGCUCUUUUAGGGUCCGAGUUGUAAUUUGUA